rfam:Paenibacillus pectinilyticus strain KCTC13222 scaffold4, whole genome shotgun sequence.
UCCACCGCGAGGUGGAAUCUGAAGGAAGCUGGAGGCAAAAUUCCGACCCGAGGAACACGAACACCAUAAGGCAUAGGAUAUGGGACGAAUUUGCCAAACAAAAUGAAGUCCAAUAAACUACACGGACAUACCUAUGUAGAUGAUGCGGGUACAUGGAAGGAAAGUGAAUCGU